CAAAUCUGCAUACCUCUAAUGCAUACCUACCUAUCUACAUGUAACUUGAGGUUAGAUAUCAGUGGGCUAACUCCAGUUGUUAAUUUCAGCUAAAUACAGGAUCAUCGUUAGAGCUGCCCACCCAAAGUCGGAUGAUGUCUAGCAGUCCGGAAAGAAACGUAAGCGGCAAGUGGGUUGGAAUGGAAUUUAAGUCAAAACUUGGAUUGAACGAGUGGCGCUACUUCUAGUUGCAACCGAUAGUUGGGUUUUUCUGUCAUGACGUACCUUCUGAAAAAUUAAUACCUAUUACAUUGUGGCAGUUGUACCUGACGAAGAUGAGUCUUUAGGAAUGCAUUCUGCUAAAAUAUUAUAAUCGAAAAUAUAUUACUAAUGCAUAUUGGCUAAAGAAAGUACAGUAACCGUUCCAGCGGUAUAGAGGGAAACAUUCCUCUUUGGUAACCGGGGAGGAUGAGGAGUGUGUUUUCAACAAACAACGCGAUGUUUUACUUUUUACUGGAUGCCCGGGAAUAAUUUAAGGUGGGUUAUGGCUUUUGUGUCGCCCAUCCUAGCAGCCUCAGAAACUCCCUGUUGCGGUAGCCCCCAAACCAAAGCACGUCUCUCAUUAUGUGAGAGAAUAAGAAAAGUCAAAGUAAACUAAGUGCUUUGUAUCAGGACACCUUGGAGUGCAACUAGACUUACAAGAGUUCAGUUGACUGCGUGUCUACCGAGAAUUAAAUCCAAUUUACUUUAGAGGGACACAGAAUUAAAUGCAAUUUACUUUAGAGGGACACUUUCUCAGAUAUGCAGACAAUUCCCAUGAGAGCCUGAAGAAACAGAAAGAUGUUUCAUACGUUGAUGAAGAAGGAAAUUUAAGGAGGGAAGACUGGUGCCUUGUGAUGAACGGACAAGCUCUUGAAACUCUUGUAGAUAGGAGUGGGGAACUUUCAGCCCUCCAGAUCUCUUCUCCUACUGUCCCACCCAGCACUGCUAUGGGUAAGAGGUGCAGGGAUUUGAGCCCAACACAUCUGGAGUGGCAAAUGCUCACUAACUGCUGUAGAUUUUUCUAAAGACCUUCAGAGUUGUUGACGCUGAGAGGUGCUUCUACCUUUGUACAUUUGUAUUGCAAGUCCAAAAAUUAACCACGUGUUAAAUGAAGAAAAGAAAAUCCACUUUUCCACCCUCUGAAAGGAAGAGUGCUCGUGGAUUUAUGACAAUAAAAUCCUCUGCAAGUUAGCUCGGAAGUAUAUU
rnacentral:lncRNA from 1 species